ensembl:lncRNA
AAAGAGACUCAUAUUUAAGCGAAAGAGAAACAGCAAGGGACCUCUUUUCCCCUCGGCUCCUGCUUCAGCGGCACGAUGUAUUCACCAGCUAGAAGGGAUGCCAAUAAGGCGUCCGAUAAGAUAAGUUUUAUAGAAUAUAUAGAUGUAAGAUAAUUGAGACUGAGCUAACAGAUGAGAAUCCUAGUCAUUGGCCACGCAUCAUUGUAACUAAUACAAGUCUCUCUGUGUAUUCAUUUGUGCCUAACUCGGGCAGGCGGCUGUUGUAAAGCUCACACGUGGCAAUGGGUCUCAGGCAGCUUUUGGUGGAAAGAUUUAUCAUAACAGAUGUGGUCAAGCAUGGUGCAUUGUAGGGCACAUCUUGAAUCAGCAUCACAUAAUUCUCAGGCAUCUUUGCUUUGGAAAAGUUGACAAAGGCACUAUUGUAUUAUGAGGAGGAGACAGUCAAAGGGACACUCAGAUUGAAUAUUUCUGAGUAAGUCCCUAGGCUGAUCUUUUCUAUCAUCUUAGCCCCAAGGCAGCUUCCUGCUCCUCCAGGGUUUCUGACACACUCAGGAUGUGGUUGCAACACUGUGUUGUCUGGCACAGUAAUAGACUGCAGAGUCCUCAGAUGUCAGGCUGUUGGGCUCCAUGUAGGCUGUGCUGGAGGAUGUGUCUACCGUCAAUGUGGCCUUGUGUUGGAAAUUCUGAUUGUAGCCAGUACCACUAUUUCCAGGGUCAAUCCAUCCAAUCCACUCCAGACCCUGUCUAGGCUUCUGUUUCACCCAGCUCAUGUAGUGGCUGUUGAAGGUGUAGCCUGAAGCCUUGCAGGACAGCUUCACUGAGGCUCCAGGCUUCACCAGCUCAGCAGAGGACUGAUGAAGGAGGAUUUGGCAGUGGACACCUGUGGAGAGAAAGGCAGAGUGGAUGUCACUGUCACCUGAGAACAUGGCCCCUCCUCAAGCCUGGAACUUGGAGCCCUCACCUGUAGCUGCUGUCACCAGGAAGAGGAUGAUCCAGCUCCAUCCCAUGCUUCUGUCUUGCAGUGUUCCCUCCAUCCUGGCCUGGUUAAAAUUCACUUCUCACUGACAAUAAUCAGGAGACUCUGCCUUGGUGAGUAAUAUCCUUUGCUUACAAGGUUUGUAUCAACGUGACUGAUACGGUUGUUGAAAAAAUAUUUGCCCAAAACAAAGCAGAAAUAGGUCAUCUCACAGUCAUUAAAUAUAGCUUAUGCAUGUAUGUCUUUUCUUCAGUAACCCUGGGAAAUAUUGAGAAAUUAAUCCACAGACUUCUGGUGUCCAGAAGUGUGCCUAACCUGCAGGUUCCCUGUGGUCACCCUAUGUCACUGACAGCCAUGUGGCCUUAGCUCACCCUGGUGUUAGGGAAUACACACUGGAUCCCUUGGUUUUCACCUUCACACUGUGAUGUUCAAUAAACUGUAUUUGUCUUGACCUCACUAACCUACUAUUGUGUAGUCAUUUAGUUCUCAAAAACAUUUUCUCCCACAGCUGAGGUCACUAUAAUUGAAUCCAGAGAAGGCUCAGGACUGGAAAAGUAGAUUUUCUUUUCAUUUUUCAGAUUCCUGAAACCUGCUAUCCUUAACCCUGAACCAACACCAACCAUCAACUUCUCCCAGUGAUCUUCUCUAACUCACAGGUAAACACUGCAGCUUCCCUACACUCAGCUGAGUCACAGUGCUCACAGCAGUGAGCAUGCAGACAACAUUAACAUGAAAACAGCAGAAAACAGAAAACUGAGAUAAGGAACUGUGUUGCCAAUGGAAGGAAGAUAGAACAGAGACCUGAGAUGACAUCACCUGGCUGGUGCCCAGUGUCACUUAGACUUUCCACAAGAUGGGGAACAAGAAACACCUGCAAAGGAGUCAUUACAUGGGACUUGGGUUUAAAUUAAUCCAUACAAGGAUAUAAAUUUCCAGCGUGCAUUGUGUAAAAAUGUGAAUUAUCUGUACUCCAUUAGAGCACUACCACAUGGGAAGCUGGAAAAAGUACACAUCCUGUUUCCCGUCUACCUGUGGUAAUAGAAUUCACUCAUGGAAGCUCUCCAUUCCAUGCCUCAUGAUAGGAAACACAUACAGAGUUCUUUAGAUUAUUUAAAUUUCCCUGUGAUUUCCUGAACUUAUCAUCACCAAGUCUGAAAGUUAGAGACCUGAGAGGAAAAACAUGGAGAGUUUUGUUUUAUGUGUAUUUGACCUAACAGCAAGUGGCAGAUGGGUAUCUUAGUUGCUCCAUGGGGUCAUAAUGAUAUGCUUAUUACAAAAUAAGCAAUUAUUAAUUGUCACAAAUAAGUUGUAGCAAAGGGUCCAUAGGAUUUUUAUUACUCAGCAUGUGAAACCACAUAUUCUAAGUUGAAGUUGAAAUAGGCAUGUCUGUCUGGAAACUCACGGGCACACUCAUAUGACAUGAGGACAUCCAGGUGUUUUGAGUAGGCUCAGCAGUUCCUAAAGGGCUAUGCGUUUCUCAAGCUCCUCUGAAGGGUGGUUGU